GCGUUCGCUUCUGCAGCACACAUACUCAAAUUGGAACGAUACGGAGAUUAGUAUGGCCCCUGUGAAAGGAUAACAUGCAAAUUCGUGGUGUUCCUUUUUUUUUU
ensembl:snRNA U6 U6 spliceosomal RNA